rnacentral:tRNA from 1 species
GCACCGGUAGCUCAGUUGGAUAGAGCAACUGCCUUCUAAGCCGUAGGUCACAGGUUCGAAUCCUGUCCGGUGUACCA